rnacentral:rRNA from 1 species
GUAUAACAAUUAUACAGCGAAACUGCGAAUGGCUCAUUAUAUAAGUUAUCGUUUAUUUGAUAGUACCUUACUACUUGGAUAACCGUGGUAAUUCUAGAGCUAAUACAUGCUGAAAAUCCCGACUUCGGAAGGGAGGUAUUUAUUAGAUUAAAAACCAAUGCCCUCUGGGCUCCUUGGUGAUUCAUAAUAACUUUUCGAAUCGCACGGCCUUGCGCCGGCGAUGGUUCAUUCAAAUUUCUUCCCUAUCAACUUUCGAUGUUUGGGUAUUGGCCAAACAUGGUCGCAACGGGUAACGGAGGGUUAGGGCUCGACCCCGGAGAAGGAGCCUGAGAAACGGCUACUACAUCCAAGGAAGGCAGCAGGCGCGCAAAUUACCCAAUCCCGAUUCGGGGAGGUAGUGACAAUAAAUACUGAUACAGGGCUCUUUUGGGUCUUGUAAUUGGAAUGAGUCAAUUUAAAUCUCUUAACGAGGAACAAUUGGAGGGCAAGUCUGGUGCCAGCAGCCGCGGUAAUUCCAGCUCCAAUAGCGUAUAUUAAAGUUGUUGUGGUUAAAAAGCUCGUAGUUGAACCUUGGGCCUGGCUGGCCGGUCCGCCUCACCGCGUGUACUGGUCCGGCCGGGCCUUUCCCUCUGUGGAACCUCAUGCCCUUCACUGGGUGUGGCGGGGAAACAGGACUUUUACUUUGAAAAAAUUAGAGUGCUCCAGGCAGGCCUAUGCUCGAAUACAUUAGCAUGGAAUAAUAAAAUAGGACGCGUGGUUCUAUUUUGUUGGUUUCUAGGACCGCCGUAAUGAUUAAUAGGGACAGUCGGGGGCAUCAGUAUUCAAUUGUCAGAGGUGAAAUUCUUAGAUUUAUUGAAGACUAACUACUGCGAAAGCAUUUGCCAAGGAUGUUUUCAUUAAUCAGGAACGAAAGUUAGGGGAUCGAAGACGAUCAGAUACCGUCGUAGUCUUAACCAUAAACUAUGCCGACUAGGGAUCGGACGAUGUUAUUUUUUGACGCGUUCGGCACCUUACGAGAAAUCAAAGUGCUUGGGCUCC